CGGGGUGUGGUGCACCGGUAGCACGCAUCGUUCGGGACGAUGAGGCAUAGGGUUCAAUUCCCUACACCCCGA
rnacentral:tRNA from 1 species